rfam:Rattus norvegicus chromosome 1, whole genome shotgun sequence.
UGGGGUUUAGCUCAGUGGUAGAGCGCUUGCCUAGCAAGCGCAAUGUCCUGGGUUCGGUCCCCAGCUCCAA